AUGUACCUAUGGGAACUGCCUAAUGGUCUGACAAUUCAUACGACAGCAAGCAAGGUGGCCUCCACGUUUCCUGAGCGACUUCUUCGCCUCUGCCUCGACCGCCCCUCGACCACAGACAAGUCUCGAGAUCGGUUCCGGAGCCGCGGCGGUGGCCUUGUGGCUUCCACAGGCGCGGAGGAGGCGGCGGCCGCGGCGGCCUCCAGGACUUCCGUUCCCCGCCGCCCCGCGAGAGCCUGAGCCAGAGCCGCGGCCCGGUGGGUCCCGGCCGGGGCCAGAGCGGCGCUAAGCCUCCGUGCGAUCCCGCCACCGCAUCCACACCAGCAGCAGCAGCAGACAGCGCCGCGGCCGCCGCCGCCGCAGCAGCCGCCGCCUCAGCCGCCGCCACCGCAGCAGCCGCCGCCGCAGCAGCCGCCACCGCAGCAGUCGCCGCCGCAUCCACAGCCGCAUCAGGCAGCCGCCGCCGCCGCCGCCGGCGCAGGACUCCGCCAAGCCCGCGGCUGCUCGGGGACCCGGCCCCGCUCCCGGACUCGGCAGCGCGUCGCCUGCCUCCAGCGCGGCCCCGCCCGCCACUCCGCCUACCUCGGGGGCCCGGCCAGGGUCCCGGCCAGGCCCGACCCCGCCGCCCGCAGUCACCUCGGCCCACCUCCGGGACACCGCCACCCAGGCCUCCCUACCACAGCUCCUCAGGCCGGAGGCCCGGGCCGGGGUCCGGGGUCUAAGCAGAGCCCAGGCCCGGGCGGUCCCAAGGGCGGCGAAAGCACUCUCAGCGGCCUAAGCACUCUCAGCGGCCACCCCAAGCCACCGGAACGAGGCGGUGGGGAGCCCCGCGGGGGCCACCUGCCUCACCCGCCCUACCUCCGGCAGCACCACCAGGGUCCCUGGCCCAGCGGACCGGGCGGCCGCAGCCAGAGGAAGAUCUCAGACUUGGAGAGGUUUAAAGCCAACUUACCUCUCUUGAGGAGGCCUGGAUAGAAAACUUCUACACAGGGAUGUUGGUCGUUGGGAAUCUACCUACCCAUAUCACGGAGGAUGAAUCAAAAGACUAUUUGCUAAAUAUGGAGAACCAGGAGAAGUUUUUCUCAACAAAGGCAAAGAAUUCGAAUGUAUUAAGCUUGAAUCUAGAGCUUUGGUGAAAUUGCCAAAGCUGAACUCAAUGAUACACCCAUGAAAGGGAGACAGCUUCGAGUUUGCUUUGCCUCACUGCUGUUGCCCUUUCUGUUCCUAAUCUUUCAACUUACAUUUCCAAUGAACUGCUGGAAGAAGCCUUUAGCCAGUUUGGUCCUAUUGAAAGGGCUGCUGUAAUGGUGGAUGAUCGUGGAAGAUCCACAGGGAAAGGCAUUGCUGAAUUUGCUUCUAUACCAGCAGCAAUAAAGGCAUUUGAACAAUGCCGUGAAGGUGUUUUCUUACUGACAACAACUCUUGGUCCAGUCAUUGUAGAACCACUUGAACAACUGAUGAAGAUGGUCUCCCUGAAAAACUUGCCCAGAAGAAUCCAAUGUAUCAAAAGGAGAGAGAAACCCCUCCUCAUUUUGCCCAGCAUGGCACAUUUGAGUACGAGUAUUCUCAGCGAUGGAAGUCUUUCAAUGAAAUAGAAAAACAGCAAAGGGAACAAGUUGAAAAAAACAUGUAGGAUGCAAAAGACAGAUUGGAAAGUGAAAUGGAAGAUGCCUGUCAUGAACAUCAGGCAAAUCUUUUGCACCGAUAUCUGAUGAGACGAAAGGAAAAAUUAAGACAUGUGGAAGAACUUCACAAUCAAGAAAUGCAGAAACGUAAAGAAAUGCAAUUGAGGCAAAAGAAGGAACGAUGUAGAAGAGAGUAAAAGAUGAUAAUUCGUCAACUUGAGAUGAAAGAACAAAUGAGGCGCCAAAGAGGAGAAAGUUACAGCGGAAUGGGCUACAUGGAUCCAAGAGAAAGAGACAUGAGAAUGGGUGGUGGAGGAACAAUGAACAUGAGAGAUCCCUAUGGUUCAGGAGGCCAGAAAUUUCCACCUCUAGGUGGUGGUGGUGGCAUAGGUUAUGAAUUUAAUCCUGGAGUUCCACCAGCAACCAUGAGUAGUUCCAUCAUGGGAAGUGACAUGCAUAGUGAACACUUUGGGCAGGGAGGUGUGGAGCCUGUGAGUGGACAGGGUCCUAGAAGAAUGGGGCCUGGAACUCCAACAGGAUAUGGUAGAGGGAGAGAAGAAGCCCAAACAAAAAA